rnacentral:rRNA from 1 species
GAUGAACGCUGGCGGCGUGCCUAACACAUGCAAGUCGAACGGAAAGGCCCUGCUUUUGCGGGGUGCUUGAGAGGCGCACGGGUGUGUAAAACGCGAGUAAACUGCACCUGAAUUUGGGGUAACUCCUCGAAAAUGGGGCUAAUACAGGAUAGGAGCUCCUGCUCCAUGGGGGGGGAUGGAAAGUGUCGGCGGUUGGGGAUGGUAUAGAGGCUUCUCAGCUUGUUGGGGGGGUAGGGUCUUACCAAGGCUUUGAAGGGUAGCCGGCCUUGGAGGGUGACCGGCCACAUGGGGACUGAGGUACGGCCCAGACUCCUACGGGAGGCAGCAGUGGGGAAUCUUGCGGAAUGGGCGGACGCCAGAUGCAGCGACGCCGCGUUCGGGAUGACGUCCUACGGGUUAUAAACCGCUUUCGCAUGUGACGAGGCGUGAGUGACGGUAAUUAAUCAGGAAGCCCCGGCUAACUACGUG